CCUACGGGUGGCUGCAGUAGGGAAUAUUGGGCAAUGGGCGAAAGCCUGACCCAGCCAUGCCGCGUGCAGGACGAAGGCCCUCUGGGUUGUAAACUGCUUUUGCAGGAGAAGAACCAAUGAUUUGCGAAUCAUUCUGACGGUAUUCUGCGAAUAAGCCACGGCUAACUACGUGCCAGCAGCCGCGGUAAUACGUAGGUGGCAAGCGUUGUCCGGAUUUAUUGGGUUUAAAGGGUGCGUAGGCGGAUGCUUAAGUCAGGGGUGAAAGACGGCCGCUC
rnacentral:rRNA from 1 species